AGGUCGAUGAUAAGAACUUAUAUUGUCUUUAAGACAGAUGACCUAAAACUUAUAUGCAAUAAAAUCACACUGAGGCUC